UGCAGCCUUUGCUCUUACACAGUACUUUAAGUUUUCUGAUUUAUAAGUAGAUUCUCUCUGAACAAACUUAAGCAUUAUGGCCUAAUAAUUUAAAGACUUUAGUAUCAUCUCCAGACAAGUUCCAAGGUAAAAGUACUUCCUUUCAUUCAGCUGAGACAUUCUUCUUCAUUAUUUUUGACAAAUGUUUACAGGGAAGGCUGCAGAGAGAUGCUGGAUGAAUGUGUUCUUUAUUGGCCCACUGCAUGUCUUCUACCUGUAGGUAUAAAAAAUUAAUGAGCCUUCCAUUUUUCUCCAUUUAUAAUAUCCUAAUCCUGGCCAUAGGUUUGUCAUAAAUCACUAUGUGCUGACAGUAGAAAUGCAGUUUACCAUAAUAAGAAACCUGUUUCUUUCCCUUAUAUUGACUUUAUGAAAGUGUUAAAUGAUUGUACCCAAUAAAUCUUUCAAGCCAUGGA